GAUGAACGCUGGCGGCGUGCCUAACACAUGCAAGUCGAACGGGACUCUUUUAGAUCAAGACUUCGGUCGAGUGAAGUUAGAGUCUAGUGGCGGACGGGUGAGUAACGCGUGAGCAACCUGCCUUUCAGAGGGGGACAACAGCUGGAAACGGCUGCUAAUACCGCAUAUAGCAUGUUGAUCGCAUGAUCUUUAUGUGAAAGAUUUAUCGCUGAAAGAUGGGCUCGCGUCUGAUUAGCUAGUUGGUGAGGUAAUGGCUCACCAAGGCUUCGAUCAGUAGCCGGACUGAGAGGUUGAACGGCCACAUUGGGACUGAGAUACGGCCCAGACUCCUACGGGAGGCAGCAGUGGGGAAUAUUGGGCAAUGGGGGCAACCCUGACCCAGCAACGCCGCGUGGAGGAAGAAGGCUUUCGGGUUGUAAACUCCUUUGACCAGGGAAGAAGAAGUGACGGUACCUGGAAAACAAGCCACGGCUAACUACGUGCCAGCAGCCGCGGUAACAC
rnacentral:rRNA from 1 species